GGCGACGAUCUGUAGCUGGUCUGAGAGGACGACCAGCCACACUGGGACUGAGACACGGCCCAGACUCCUACGGGAGGCAGCAGUGGGGAAUUUUGGACAAUGGGCGCAAGCCUGAUCCAGCAAUGCCGCGUGCAGGACGAAGGCCUUCGGGUUGUAAACUGCUUUUGUACGGAGCGAAACGGUCUGGGUUAAUACCCUGGGCUAAUGACGGUACCGUAAGAAUAAGCACCGGCUAACUACGUGCCAGCAGCCGCGGUAAUACGUAGGGUGCGAGCGUUAAUCGGAAUUACUGGGCGUAAAGCGUGCGCAGGCGGUUUUGUAAGACAGGCGUGAAAUCCCCGGGCUCAACCUGGGAAUGGCGCUUGUGACUGCAAAGCUGGAGUGCGGCAGAGGGGGAUGGAAUUCCGCGUGUAGCAGUGAAAUGCGUAGAUAUGCGGAGGAACACCGAUGGCGAAGGCAAUCCCCUGGGCCUGCACUGACGCUCAUGCACGAAAGCGUGGGGAGCAAACAGGAUUAGAUACCCU
rnacentral:rRNA from 1 species